rnacentral:rRNA from 1 species
CAAUGCCCGAAAGGGUGACGAAGCGACGCCGCGUGAGCGAAGAAGGCCCUAGGGUUGUAAAGCUCUGUCAGGGGUUAUGAAAUGUAGACUAGCUAAUACCUGGUUUAUUUGACAAAGGCCCCAAAGGAAGCCACGGCUAACUCUGUGCCAGCAGCCGCGGUAAUACAGAGGUGGCAAGCGUUGUUCGGUAUUAUUGGGCGUAAAGAGCACGUAGGUGGUUUUGUAAGUCAGAUGUGAAAGCCUUCUGUUCAAAGGAAGAACGGCAUCUGAAACUGCAGAUCUUGAGUAUAGGAGGGGAGAGUGGAACUUCUGGUGGAGCGGUGAAAUGCGUAGAUAUCAGAAGGAACGUCGGCGGCGAAAGCGACUCUCUGGCCUAUUACUGACACUGAGUGUGCGAAAGUUAGGGGAGCAAACGGGAUUAGAUACCCCGGUAGUCCUAACCGUAAACGAUGGGCACUAAGUAGAGGGGUUUUA